ncrna:Manihot esculenta miR828a stem-loop (mes-MIR828a)
GUAAUGUUUCUUGCUCAAAUGAGUAUUCCAAUCACAGUUGCAUUUUGCAUACACAAUCUCCUUUGCUUUUCUUUCAGUAUCUCCACUGUAAAUUUUGUGGUUGCUGAUGCUGCUGUGUCUCUGAGAUGCUCAUUUGAGCAAGUAAUGUUAU